rnacentral:rRNA from 1 species
AACGAACGCUGGCGGCAUGCCUAACACAUGCAAGUCGAACGAGACCUUCGGGUCUAGUGGCGCACGGGUGCGUAACGCGUGGGAACCUGCCUUUAGGUUCGGAAUAACUCCCCGAAAGGGGUGCUAAUACCGGCUAAUGUCUUCGGACCAAAGAUUUAUCGCCUUUGGAUGGGCCCGCGUUGGAUUAGCUAGUUGGUAGGGUAAAAGCCUACCAAGGCGACGUUCCAUAGCUGGUCUGAGAGGAUGAUCAGCCACACUGGGACUGAGACACGGCCCAGACUCCUACAGGAGGCAGCAGUGGGGAAUAUUGGACAAUGGGCGAAAGCCUGAUCCAGCAAUGCCGCGUGAGUGAUGAAGGCCUUAGGGUUGUAAAGCUCUUUUACCCGGGAUGAUAAUGACAGUACCGGGAGAAUAAGCUCCGGCUAACUCCGUG